rnacentral:rRNA from 1 species
AGGACGAACGCUGGCGGCGUGCUUAACACAUGCAAGUCGAACGGAAAGGCCUCUUCGGAGGUACUCGAGUGGCGAACGGGUGAGUAACACGUGGGCAAUCUGCCCUGCACUUCGGGAUAAGCCUGGGAAACUGGGUCUAAUACCGGAUAGGACCUCAAGACGCAUGUCUUCUGGUGGAAAGCUUUUGCGGUGUGGGAUGGGCCCGCGGCCUAUCAGCUUGUUGGUGGGGUGACGGCCUACCAAGGCGACGACGGGUAGCCGGCCUGAGAGGGUGACCGGCCACAUUGGGACUGAGAUACGGCCCAGACUCCUACGGGAGGCAGCAGAAGGG